AUUAAUGCCCCAUGGUACCGCGAUAUCGCAUGAUAUUGCGGUUAAAGAUUUAUCGGACAGGGAUGGCCAUGCGUACCAUUAGUUAGUUGGUGGGGUAACGGCCCACCAAGGCAGCGAUGGUUAGGGGCCCUGAGAGGGGGAUCCCCCACACUGGUACUGAGACACGGACCAGACUCCUACGGGAGGCAGCAGUGAGGAAUAUUGGACAAUGGGCGGGAGCCUGAUCCAGCCAUGCCGCGUGCAGGAUGACGGCCCUAUGGGUUGUAAACUGCUUUUAUACGGGAAGAAACGCACCUACGUGUAGGUGUCUGACGGUACCGUAAGAAUAAGGACCGGCUAACUCCGUGCCAGCAGCCGCGGUAAUACGGAGGGUCCGAGCGUUAUCCGGAAUCAUUGGGUUUAAAGGGUCCGUAGGCGGGCCUGUAAGUCAGGGGUGAAA
rnacentral:rRNA from 1 species